UACAGAGGUCCCAAGCGUUGUUCGGAUUUAUUGGGCGUAAAGGGUGCGUAGGCGGUUGCCUAAGUCUGGUGUGAAAUCUCGGGGCUCAACCUCGAAACUGCACUGGAUACUGGGUAACUUGAGUACUGGAGGGGAGACUGGAAUUUACGGUGUAGCAGUGAAAUGCGUAGAUAUCGUAAGGAAGACCAGUGGCGAAGGCGAGUCUCUGGACAGUUACUGACGCUGAGGCACGAAGGCCAGGGGAGCAAACGGG
rnacentral:rRNA from 1 species